rnacentral:rRNA from 1 species
GACGAACGCUGGCGGCGUGCUUAACACAUGCAAGUCGUGCGGAAAGGCCUUUUCGAAGGUGCUCGAGCGGCGAACGGGUGAGUAACACGUGAGUAACCUGCCCUGCGCUGGGGGAUAACCCUCGGAAACGGGGGCUAAUACCGGAUGGUCACAUGGGUUCGCAUGGGUCUGUGUGGAAAGGGAUCUUCGGGUUUUGGUCGUGGGAUGGGCUCGCGGCCUAUCAGCUUGUUGGUGGGGUGAUGGCCUACCAAGGCGAGGACGGGUAGCCGGUCUGAGAGGAUGGCCAGCCACAUUGGGACUGAGAUACGGCCCAGACUCCUACGGGAGGCAGCAGUGGGGAAUCUUGCGCAAUGGCCUAACGACUGGCGCAGCGACGCCGCGUGUGGGAUGAAGCUCCUCGGAGUGUAAACCACUGUU